rnacentral:rRNA from 1 species
CAGCAGCCGCGGGAAUACGAAGGGGGCUAGCGUUGUUCGGAUUUACUGGGCGUAAAGGGCGCGUAGGCGGACUGAUAAGUCAGGGGUGAAAUCCCAAGGCUCAACCUUGGAACUGCCUUUAAUACUGUUUGUCUUGAGUUCGAGAGAGGUAAGUGGAACUGCGAGUGUAGAGGUGAAAUUCGUAGAUAUUCGCAAGAACACCAGUGGCGAAGGCGGCUUACUGGCUCGAAACUGACGCUGAGGCGCGAAAGCGUGGGGAGCAAACAGGAUUAGAUACCCCAGUAGUCCCUGUCUCUUAUAC